AAUUAGUGUUGCGGGUACUAUCUCAGGAGCAACUUGAACCUUUCCCAUGUCUCAAAUAGAGACUCCCAUUCGACUGUAUAAAGGAUGAGAUCUCAUUCCUAAGCU